rnacentral:tRNA from 1 species
GUGGGUGUCGCCUAGCGGUCAAAGGCGCCAGGUUGUGGCCCUGGAGAUCGGGGGUUCAAAUCCCCUCACCCACCCCA